rnacentral:rRNA from 1 species
UACGGAGGUGGCAAGCGUUGUUCGGAAUUACUGGGCGUAAAGGGCGCGUAGGCGGCAAGGCAAGUCAGGUGUGAAAGCCCCGAGCUUAACUCGGGAAUUGCAUCUGAAACUGCUGUGCUUGAGUUCUGGAGGGGGUAGUGGAAUUCCCAGUGUAGCGGUGAAAUGCGUAGAUAUUGGGAGGAACACCGGUGGCGAAGGCGGCCCCCUGGACCGGUACUGACGCUGAGGCGCGAAAGCGUGGGUAGCAAACGGG